AUGUGCUGCUUCUAAUUGUCCCUUUA
rnacentral:rRNA from 1 species